rnacentral:rRNA from 1 species
CUACAGGCUUAACACAUGCAAGUCGAGGGGCAUCAGGAAGAAAGCUUGCUUUCUUUGCUGGCGACCGGCGCACGGGUGAGUAACACGUAUCCAACCUGCCCUUUACUCGGGGAUAGCCUUUCGAAAGAAAGAUUAAUACCCGAUGGCAUAAUGAUUCCGCAUGGUUUCAUUAUUAAAGGAUUCCGGUAAAGGAUGGGGAUGCGUUCCAUUAGGUUGUUGGUGAGGUAACGGCUCACCAAGCCUUCGAUGGAUAGGGGUUCUGAGAGGAAGGUCCCCCACAUUGGAACUGAGACACGGUCCAAACUCCUACGGGAGGCAGCAGUGAGGAAUAUUGGUCAAUGGGCGCUAGCCUGAACCAGCCAAGUAGCGUGAAGGAUGAAGGCUCUAUGGGUCGUAAACUUCUUUUAUAUAAGAAUAAAGUGCAGUAUGUAUACUGUUUUGUAUGUAUUAUAUGAAUAAGGAUCGGCUAACUCCGUGCCAGCAGCCGCGGUAAUACGGAGGAUCCGCGCGUUAUCCGGAUUUAUUGGGUUUAAAGGGAGCGUAGGUGGACUGGUAAGUCAGUUGUGAAAGUUUGCGGCUCAACCGUAAAAUUGCAGUUGAUACUGUCAGUCUUGAGUACAGUAGAGGUGGGCGGAAUUCGUGGUGUAGCGGUGAAAUGCUUAGAUAUCACGAAGAACUCCGAUUGCGAAGGCAGCUCACUGGACUGCAACUGACACUGAUGCUCGAAAGUGUGGGUAUCAAACAGGAUUAGAUACCCUGGUAGUCCACACAGUAAACGAUGAAUACUCGCUGUUUGCGAUAUACAGUAAGCGGCCAAGCGAAAGCAUUAAGUAUUCCACCUGGGGAGUACGCCGGCAACGGUGAAACUCAAAGGAAUUGACGGGGGCCCGCACAAGCGGAGGAACAUGUGGUUUAAUUCGAUGAUACGCGAGGAACCUUACCCGGGCUUAAAUUGCAGUGGAAUGAUGUGGAAACAUGUCAGUGAGCAAUCACCGCUGUGAAGGUGCUGCAUGGUUGUCGUCAGCUCGUGCCGUGAGGUGUCGGCUUAAGUGCCAUAACGAGCGCAACCCUUAUCUUUAGUUACUAACAGGUUAUGCUGAGGACUCUAGAGAGACUGCCGUCGUAAGAUGUGAGGAAGGUGGGGAUGACGUCAAAUCAGCACGGCCCUUACGUCCGGGGCUACACACGUGUUACAAUGGGGGGUACAGAAGGCAGCUAGCGGGUGACCGUAUGCUAAUCCCAAAAGCCUCUCUCAGUUCGGAUCGAAGUCUGCAACCCGACUUCGUGAAGCUGGAUUCGCUAGUAAUCGCGCAUCAGCCACGGCGCGGUGAAUACGUUCCCGGGCCUUGUACACACCGCCCGUCAAGCCAUGGGAGCCGGGGGUACCUGAAGUACGUAACCGCAAGGAUCGUCCUAGGGUAAAACUGGUGACUGGGGCUAAAUCAU